UACGAAGGGGGCUAGCGUUGCUCGGAAUCACUGGGCGUAAAGCGCACGUAGGCGGCUUACUAAGUCAGGGGUGAAAUCCUGGAGCUCAACUCCAGAACUGCCUUUGAUACUGGUGAGCUUGAGUCCGGAAGAGGAGAGUGGAAUUCCUGGUGUAGCGGUGAAAUGCGCAGAUAUCAGGAGGAACACCCGUGGCGAAAGCGGCUCUCUGGGACGGUACUGACGCUGAGACGCGAAAGCGUGGGGAGCAAACAGG
rnacentral:rRNA from 1 species